rnacentral:lncRNA from 1 species
GGAAUACUCCUCCUCUGAGGCCAUCAGGGACUUGACGCAGCUGCUCUUUGCUGGGUGUCAUUCCUGUCACUGUGAGGACACUGGCAAACCAAAGAGAUUGGUCCUUGUCUUUGGGACUCCUAGAGUUGAGGACAGAUAAUGCAUAGGAAGAAUCAGGUUUCUUACUUCCUGGUCACAAAAUGGCUGCCGAAGUCCAUAAGCUAAAUCCUAAUGUGAGUGAACAUGAUCAAGAAGUUCACAAUUUUAAGGAUUCAUGACUACAACCCCAAAAUACGGCACUUCUGCCUGUGUGGAAACAACAGAAGCAGGAAGAUUACUCUCAUUUUUCUCUGGCCUUUUUCCCUUGAAGCAGACUAUAAAGAAGAAUCUGACCUUCCUCUGAAGGAAACCUUCAUUCCAGACAUACCCUCCCUAUAUCCAAAGAACAUCUUUAUCUUUAAAGACACAGAGAUGUCAAGAAGAAUCUGAACAAACAGGCUUUGCCAGAUCCCCCAGUUUACUAAUAUUGAACCAUACUCUUUUGUUCUUCAAUCAUACUUCUGCAUGAUGUCCAUAAAAAUACACAGUUUUCCCCAUUCCUUUUGGGUAUUUAUUCCCGAAAGCUUCUGUGUCAUGUAAAACUUACAUUAAAU